rnacentral:rRNA from 1 species
UACGGGGCAGGGCAGUGUUGUGAAUUACUGGGCGUAGAGGGUCUGUAGGUGGCCAACUAAGUCAGACGUGAAAUCCCUCAGCUUAACUGGGGGAACUGCGUCUGAUACUGGAUGGCUCGAGUGCAGGAGAGGAACGCGGAAUUCCAGGUGUAGCGGUGAAAUGCGUAGAUAUCUGGAGGAACACCGGUGGCGAAGGCGGCGUUCUGGACUGCAACUGACACUGAGGAACGAAAGCCAGGGGGAGCAAACGGG